UACGAAGGGGGCGAGCGUUGUUCGGAAUUACUGGGCGUAAAGGGCUCGUAGGUGGCCAACUAAGUCGGACGUGAAAUCCCUCAGCUUAACUGGGGAACUGCAUCCGAUACUGGAUGGCUUGAGUUUGGGAGAGGGAUGCGGAAUUCCAGGUGUAGCGGUGAAAUGCGUAGAUAUCUGGAGGAACACCGGUGGCGAAGGCGGCAUCCUGGACCAACACUGACACUGAGGCACGAAAGCGUGGGGAGCAAACAGG
rnacentral:rRNA from 1 species